GGGGAAUUUUCCGCAAUGGGCGAAAGCCUGACGGAGCAAUACCGCGUGAGGGAGGAAGGCUCUUGGGUCGUAAACCUCUUUUCUCAGGGAAGAAAAAAAUGACGGUACCUGAGGAAUAAGCAUCGGCUAACUCCGUGCCAGCAGCCGCGGUAAUACGGAGGAUGCAAGCGUUAUCCGGAAUGAUUGGGCGUAAAGCGUCCGCAGGUGGCUGUGUAAGUCUGCUGUUAAAGAGUCUAGCUCAACUAGAUAAGAGCAGUGGAAACUACACGGCUAGAGUACGUUCGGGGCAGAGGGAAUUCCUGGUGUAGCGGUGAAAUGCGUAGAGAUCAGGAAGAACACCGGUGGCGAAGGCGCUCUGCUAGGCCGUAACUGACACUGAGGGACGAAAGCUAGGGGAGCGAAUGGGAUUAGAUACCCCAGUAGUCCUAGCCGUAAACGAUGGAUACUAGGCGUGGCUUGUAUCGACCCGAGCCGUGCCGUAGCUAACGCGUUAAGUAUCCCGCCUGGGGAGUACGCCGGCAACGGUGAAACUCAAAGGAAUUGACGGGGGCCCGCACAAGCGGUGGAGUAUGUGGUUUAAUUCGAUGCAACGCGAAGAACCUUACCAAGGCUUGACAUGUCGCGAAUCUUCUCGAAAGGGAAGAGUGCCUUCGGGAGCGCGAACACAGGUGGUGCAUGGCUGUCGUCAGCUCGUGUCGUGAGAUGUUGGGUUAAGUCCCGCAACGAGCGCAACCCUCGUUUUUAGUUGCCAGCAUUAAGUUGGGCACUCUAGAGAGACUGCCGGUGACAAACCGGAGGAAGGUGGGGAUGACGUCAAGUCAGCAUGCCCCUUACGCCUUGGGCUACACACGUACUACAAUGCUCCGGACAGAGGGCAGCAAGCGGGCGACCGCAAGCAAAUCCCGGAAACCGGAGCUCAGUUCAGAUCGCAGGCUGCAACUCGCCUGCGUGAAGGAGGAAUCGCUAGUAAUUGCAGGUCAGCAUACUGCAGUGAAUUCGUUCCCGGGCCUUGUACACACCGCCCGUCACACCAUGGAAGCUGGUAGUGCCCGAAGUCAUUACUCCAACUGUCAAAAGAGGAGGAUGCCUAAGGCAGGACUGGUGACUGGGGUGAAGUCGUAACAAGGUAGCCGUACCGGAAGGUGUGGCUGGAUCACCUCCUUUUUAGGGAGACCUACACCCCUUACAUAUCGAAAAACACACUAGUUUUAUAGAUAGUAAGUUGGUCUAUAACUAGGUCGGUCGAGUAUUGGUAUAAAGCUUUCAAAGUAUUAAUGGUUCAGAAUAUUAAACAAAAUAAGGAAAUUGAGAAAUCAGCAACAUGACUUAACUGGAGUCAGACUGCUGAGUUGUAUCUCAGCCAGAACCUUGAAAACUGCAUAGUAACGCGAAAAUAGCAGGCAGACACAGACAUUGAGAGUGCUGAGUACUGAGUGCUGAGUACUGAGUAAAAUCAGUAGGAAGUGACGAGGUAAGCAGAACUAACUAUUUGUGAAUGCAAGUCAUUAAAAGACCAAAUAUUUGAGUGGUCAAGCUAAUAAGGGCUAACGGUGGAUACCUAGGCACACAGAG
rnacentral:rRNA from 2 species